rnacentral:rRNA from 1 species
CCUACGGGAGGCAGCAGUGGGGAAUAUUGCACAAUGGGGGAAACCCUGAUGCAGCGACGCCGCGUGAAGGAAGAAGGAUUUCGGUAUGUAAACUUCUAUCAGCAGGGACGAAAAAUACGGGUACUGAGUAAGAAACCCCGGCCUAAGAACGUGCAAGCAGCCCCGGAAUAACGUAGGGGGCAAGCGUUGCCCGGAUUAACUGGGCGUAAGGGGCACGUAGGCGGCAAGCUAAGUGAGAAGUGAAAUCCCGCGGCUCAACCUCGGAACUGCAUUUAAAACUGUUGAACUAGAGUGCAGGAGAGGUAAGUGGAAUUCCUAGUGUAGCGGUGAAAUGCGUAGAUAUUAGGAGGAACACCAGUGGCGAAGGCGGCUCACUGGACUGUAAAUGACGCUGAGGCUCGAAAGCGUGGGGAGCAAACAGGAUUAGAUACCCGAGUAGUC